UGGACAAGGGUAUAACUAGCUUGUCCUUGUAGUUUUCAACCCUUACUGGACAAGGGUAUAACAUGAUAGCUUACGCUUACUGGACAAGGGUAUAACUAGGACAAGUAUAACUAGCUUGUCCUUGUAGCUUUCAACCCUUACUGGACAAGGGUUUUGAAGCUAAUAUAUAUAUAUCCUAAUGGAACUUAAUUAAUUAUUCCAUGGCCAGCUUUCGUUAAUUAUACAUAAAAGGCCUUUUACGAUCUACUACAAAUAAAUGUUUGGGGACUCUUUCUGCACGUCUGGCGUGGGGGAUUUUAGGGCGGACAGCUUUCACGAGUUCGGGAUCACCCAGUCGGAGUACUUCGCAGUUCGCACUUCGCAGGAGAAAGAGAGAGAACGGAAGUUUAAAAUAUGGCGGCGAAAGAGCUAGAUAGAAAGAGAAAAAACUGUCAGACAAAUCGAACGCACCGCUUCGUAGUUCAUACAUCUGAACAUUCAGGUAAAUCAGGGACAGAACAGACAAAUCGAGAGGGAUAAAAUCGUCAGAUAAAAAUAUUAUUGCUUUUUAAAUUGAGGUUUUUAUAUAUAGAAGAUAUAUAUAUUGAUAAAUAUAUUUUUUGCGUAUCAGAUUAUACUAUAUGUAUAUAUAUUCCUUCGAAAUGUGAACUCGAUCCAUGGGUUUUUAAUAUAAUUUGUUGUUUUUAUUUUAUUUUGAAU